UUUCAUUCAAUAUGUCAAUAAAAUGUGGGCAUUAAUUGCAGAAGCUACUGCACAGGACACCACAUUGCAAAAAGUGAUAACAACUAUUUGUGCUGGUUGGUCUAGAAAACAUAUACCUAGCACAUACUCUCGGUUCAAGGAA